UCUUCUAGAGAACCACUAAAUGGGUCAGCCGAUGAGGAGUUCUCUGGAAAUGGGACUUUGUUUUGUUUUUAUUUUUGGUUUCAAAUAUUUUAUUUAUUGACUUGAGAGAGAAGGAGCAUGGGCUGGGGAAAUAGGGAGAUGGGGAGAGAGAAGCAGACUCCCCAUUGAGCAGGGACUUGAUGCAAGGCUCCAUCCCAGGACCCUGGGAUUAUGACCUGAGCCAAAGGCAGAUGCUUAACCCGCUGAGCCACUCAGACAUCCCUGGGACUCUGAAGCUCUGAAGGAGCUUCAACUGUGUGCUGCUUCUUCCAGGGGCUGCCAGACUGCUGGUUUUCACUGUGACUAUGGGCUGUUAAUAUUCAAGGCUACCAUGGAGCUAAAGAGUAAAGAUAAGAAUAGGGCAAAGUAAAAUGUCACAAAACUCACUGUUCUUACCGUGAUUCUGAUCUUUUUCUUGAAUGAACUUUUCCCAAAGUGCUGAAGCCUUUAGUUAAUUUCCAAAGUUAUGAAAAAGUUGAUUCUUACCAUUUUUCUCCUCAGUUUUCUCAUUGCUUUCAUGGAAGAGAAAAUUUUCAGAAGCUCUUGCUUUGCUGCCUUGCCGAUGUCACCUGAUGAGAGACCUUUUGAAGAGAAGAGCAAAAAGAGGGCGGGGCUGACUUUCAACAGCGGCGCCCAGAGAACAAUGCGUUACAUCAGAGCCCAUCUUCGAGGAUGACCCUGCGAGCUCAGCUGGCCCCCGGCCCUCCGCCCAGCCCUCGGCAGAAGCAGUGAAUUCAACCAUAGCCACAGCACAGUCUGAUCAUUCUCCUGAUGAAAUUACACUGAUCUAAUUUGCACGCUGUGAAGACAUUUGGCACCGGCUGGAUCUGAGCCUUGACAUCUUCAUUGGAACUAAAAGUACACCAAGAACCGACAUCACAUUUCACAUUCUCUUCUGCCAGGUUGUGGCAUUUCGUCCUCUUUAAAGGCAUUAUUUCAAGAACAUUUAAUUUGGCUUUGAUGUGCCUGCCAUUUUGCUGCGUAGAACACACUGCGCCAGAAAAGCUCAGCUGUAAUAAAGUUUGGCACCAACAGCCCA
rnacentral:lncRNA from 12 species